GCAGUCGAGCGGUAGGCCCUUCGGGGUACACGAGCGGCGAACGGGUGAGUAACACGUGGGUAACCUGCCCUGUACUCUGGGAUAAGCCUUGGAAACGAGGUCUAAUACCGGAUACGACUUGGAAUCGCAUGAUUCUAGGUGGAAAGUUCCGGCGGUAUGGGAUGGACCCGCGGCCUAUCAGCUUGUUGGUGGGGUAAUGGCCUACCAAGGCGACGACGGGUAGCCGGCCUGAGAGGGUGACCGGCCACACUGGGACUGAGACACGGCCCAGACUCCUACGGGAGGCAGCAGUGGGGAAUAUUGCACAAUGGGCGAAAGCCUGAUGCAGCGACGCCGCGUGAGGGAUGACGGCCUUCGGGUUGUAAACCUCUUUCAGCAGGGACGAAGCGCAAGUGACGGUACCUGCAGAAGAAGCACCGGCUAACUACGUGCCAGCAGCCGCGGUAAUACGUAGGGUGCGAGCGUUGUCCGGAAUUAUUGGGCGUAAAGAGCUCGUAGGCGGUUUGUCGCGUCGGCCGUGAAAACUUGGGGCUUAACUCCAAGCUUGCGGUCGAUACGGGCAGACUUGAGUUCGGC
rnacentral:rRNA from 1 species